rnacentral:rRNA from 1 species
AAUCAACGCUGGCGGCGCGCCUCAGACAUGCAAGUCGAACGAUUAAAGCUCUCUUCGGAGAGUGCAUAGAGUGGCGCACGGGUGAGUAACACGUAAGUAAUCUACCUUCGAGUGGGGAAUAACGUCCGGAAACGGACGCUAAUACCGCAUAAUGCAGCGGCAUCGCAAGAUGACAGUUGUUAAAGGAGCAAUUCGCUUGAAGAGGAGCUUGCGGCAGAUUAGCUUGUUGGUAAGGUAACGGCUUACCAAGGCUACGAUCUGUAACCGGUCUAAGAGGACGGUCGGUCACACUGACACUGAAUAACGGGUCAGACUCCUACGGGAGGCAGCAGUCGGGAAUUUUGGGCAAUGGGGGAAACCCUGACCCAGCAACGCCGCGUGAAGGAUGAAGUAUUUCGGUAUGUAAACUUCGAAAGAAUAGGAAGAAUAAAUGACGGUACUAUUUAUAAGGU